GCCCACGGGGUCCGGCCCGGCGCGGAGCCGCAGAGCGGGAUGGGCCUGAGCCCCGCCGCCGGCGCAGAGAGCAGGCCGCGCCCCUCCGGCUUCCCCCGGCCACGCCCCAAACUCGCCCCGCGAGCCGCAGAAGAAUCAUCUCAAGCGUUGGUCCAGCUCCCUCCCAAGGAGCUGCAAGAGGGAACCUCAGAACUGAGCAGAAGCAACCAGGAUGGGGAGAAGCCCACAGUUAACUUGGAGGCCACAGCCAAUCAGAAAAAAACAGAGUCAAACUCAACCCCAAAGCCUGAGAGUGGAGGGAAAUUAACCAAGCAAGCUGCUGAGGGCAAACCAAGACCCAGACCUGGAGACCUGAUUGAGAUUUUUCGAAUUGGCUAUGAGCACUGGGCCAUCUAUGUGGAAGAUGACUGCGUGGUCCAUCUGGCUCCCCCGAGUAAGGGUGAGGAGUUUGAGGCCGGCAGCAUCACUUCUGUCUUCAGCAACCGGGCUGUCGUGAAAUACAGUCGGCUGGAGGAUGUGCUGCAUGGCUGCUCCUGGAAGAUCAACAACAAGCUGGAUGGGACGUACCUGCCCCUGCCUGUGGACAAGAUUAUCCAGCGGACCAAAAAGAUGAUCAACAAGAUAGUACAGUACAGCCUGAUUGAAGGGAACUGUGAACACUUUGUCAAUGACCUCAGAUACGGUGUGGCCAGGAGCCAGCAGGUAGAGCACGCCCUGAUGGAAGGAGCUAAGGCUGCAGGAGCAGUCAUCUCAGCCGUAGUGGAGAGCAUAAGGCCCAAGCCUGUAACUGCCUGAAGGUGCUGGGAACUCCAAGCAGAGGAAGGACUCCUGCCAUUAGCAUGGACAACAUGCCUCCUUGCCUCCCCCUGCCUUCUCUCGCCAUAACCCUACUCAAGAGAAUUACUCUGGAGUGUGUCUUCUACCAGCCCUUCGCAAUGGCCUCUCUGGUUUGUGUGGCUGUUCUGGGUGUUGAUUGCAAAUCCGAGAAACCACCAAGGAGCUGACACUGAUGCAAACACACGAGGGUUUAUUAGCAAGCUCGAGCUUGGGUCCAAGUUCACCCGACACAGCGGCGCAGGGACUUGGACCCCGAGAUAGAUUGCUUAAAGUUGGACUCCAAAGUUAAAGCAUAUCUGAGUUUGCAGCAGUGUGGAGGAUGCUUUAUAAAUGAAUACAUGUGGAUACUUCUGCUUCAAAAGAAAAACUUUUGGAAAAAUCACCUGAGGCCACAAUACCCUGGUCUUUUCAUUUUGAUGAAAGAUGGCUUCCUUCACCUUCUCCUGAACCCACGAGUAGAAUGGGCAGUGAGAACUCCUGAGUUGGAAAGACAAGGCUACUGUAGCUUCUGUUGAUUAUCCAGAGCCGUGGCUUUCAUGUCACAGCAGCGGAACCCACUCUCCAGGCAUAACGUCAUUGAGCCAUUAGAUGUAUAUGGAGCAGCUAUGAGCGAAGUGGGGCCCAGAGCUUGGUGCAGGUAGCUGCAGGGGUGGAGGUGGAGGGCGAUGUCUUUUGGGCUGGAAGCUUCUCAGAUGUGCUCUGCCAAC